UUCUCACUGCACUGGCCAUGAGAGAUGUCCAUCACAAGACGUGUAGCAGAAGGAAUGUAUACCUAUCUCUAUGUUUACAGUUACUGUCCUGGGAAAGUCUUAGAAAACUAUGUCAGCAAACUCAGAAGCUGAGUUUUCAGGGCGACAAUUCACUGCUGGACAAGUCCCUUGAAAAACUGCCCAAUACAUCUCUUUGAGGAUUUAGAUGUAGUGUCCAUGCACUGACAUAUUAAAGAUGUGUCUAUGUUGGAUUUUGCAUGCCAAGCUGUAAAGAUUCCUGAAUCCAAGUUAAAACUAUGUGAAGUCUGAUUGACAACACAUUUUAGAUAAUUUCGCCUUUUGGAGGCCUAUCCAUCAAUGUCUAAACCUGUAUUUUAUGGAAUGGGCUGUGCCUAUAGCUCUAGACCUAGGUUAUGAGCACAAUGUGGUUAUUAUGUCCUGUUGAGAAGUGUAUUACACAAUGGUGUCAAAAGGAAUAGCUGUAAUGUGAUGCAAUACUCAUGGAACUUCUUCCUGCUUUCUCAAAAUCUGUGAUGUUUACAUCUUGAGUGGUACUUUAAUUUUCUGAACUGCAGGCCAGAUUGGUGAUUUAUGUCAUACAACAAACAUGGCAGAAGUUGAAGUGUUGGGUCAAAUCUUGGCUCUGUAUUUCCACAACAACACAAUUAUCCUUCUUAUUUUGUGUCCGAAACAGAACAUGCUUGGACUGAAAUAUGCUAAAGAAUGAUGUGUCUGGGCAGAAGUUACACAUUCACAUGGUCCCUCUCAACCAGAUUGUGCAUUUUGGAAAUAGGAAUCCAGAACUUUGGGCCACUAUCACAGGGACAAAUAGAAAAAUCUACCAGGAAGCUGGCCACAGAGGCAAUAUAAAAGCGGCUGUGGACUCUGUCAAGCAAAGAACAUCUGUUCCUUUGAAUUCCAGUACUGUUCCAUGAGUUACAUGCGAAGGAUCCCAAAGGACUGGAAGCCAUCUGUCAUGUUACACGGACAGAAAUGCACCUACCUCUGGGGCUCAGACACAGUAACAAUUCUCUCAGUAUCCAAGACAACUAUGCAACACUUGGUGAGUGGGAUGCAAUUAUCCAUAACAAAAUUUAGCCAAAGGUUUGUGAUUGCAGCACAUUUUCCUAUAUUUUAUUACUAUGAUGAUUAAUGAUUAAUAUUUUUAAUCUGUCAUUACAUUAUUAUUCCAGGAUGACCAUCACUGGAUUUUUUUAACAGCUUAGAAGAGUGUUUUAUGCAAGAGUCAGUUUGGUAUUAGUGACAGUCAGGUCUCUUUUCACUGCCUGAGAAACCUUGUGAGAAAUGUAGAAAUUGGAGACUGUAUUGUGGUGACCAUCUAUUGCAAGAAUUAGAAAAUCAGAAGCAGAUUUUAUAAGGCUGCAGUAGACCUUUAUUUUCUGUUGACUUGUCUACAUUAUUUUAAAAUGUAUUAAAAAAAGUUCGGGGAUGAAUUUCCAUUGAUUCAGAUCACAAGUUGCACUGAUCUGAACAGGGCUUAAAUCUACUAUAUGCUUAAAUUUACUAUAUGCUUUCAUUUGCUAGAAGAACACUUAAAGACAUAUCAAAAGUAACAUAAUUUGAUCAGGAAACUAUUCCUGGUGGGGGAAAACAACCCAAGAAAACACAUAAUAGAUAUUUGGAAAACAAUUGUGCCUAGUACAACAGCAAACUGACAUCUGAGUUGGUAGGGCAGGUUCUGGAAUACUGUGUUGGGUCUGAGACUGAUACUACAACCUAAAUUUGUCACUCAGUUUUAAUGUGCCUCAGUUUUUUGGGAUUAUUCUUCUUUAGGAUAAAUAUUGUUUUUUCAAACAAUAAAAAAAGACUAAACCAGUACAAAAUACAGUAAAUGAUGUUUAGGAAGGAUGUAUGUAGGAAGAAUGUAUAAAGUUGUUUCAUUAAGGAGAAAGAUAGAUAUAACUGUAAUUAGAAUCUAUAUCCACAAAUAUAAUCUACUAGUGGACACUUGCAUAUUUUCAUGUGCUAAGCCAUAAUUUUUCUCUGUAGAAGGAUAUUGAGACAAUGAGUAGAGUUCAUUGUAGCAAAAAGUACAUAAGGAGAAGUAUGUGUUUAGUUGUUUGGGGUUAGCCAAGUCCAUAGAAAGUAAUUGUCAUGCUUUCCCAGAAAGAAAUCUGAGGGACACUUUCAUUCAUCCCAUAUUUUCUUCUUUGGUUUCAUUUCUUGACAAGCUGACAACCAUCACACAAAUUCAAGACUGAAUAAUUCAUUUAUUCUCUUGAAUUUUCUUGGAAUUAGCAUAAAAGCAUUGUCUCCAAUAUGGAUCCAAACAAGAAGAAUAUGAAACCUGUGCAGGUUUCUUAUGUCAUACAUUUGCAUCUGCAUCAGAUAACACUAAUCCAAGUUAACAAUGCUAGCAUGUCUUCAAAUGACCAAUAUUUUAAUAAAAAUAUUUUAUUCAAUAAUAUAUAAUCAUUGUAUUCAUAAUAUAAAAUUAAAUACUGUUUGUUCUGUGAGUACAGAAACAGAAUCAUAGAUUCAUUAAGGCUGGAAAAGACCUCUAAGGUAAUUGAGCCCAGCCGUCAAUGAGUUCACCUGACUCUCUGAGGCUUCCUGUCCUCAGUAAUCCUGGUAUUCUACUGCCCUUUCCUUAUAUCAGGCCCUGGUCAGGAUCUAUGAGAACUCAGGUCCCCCCCGCAUAUUCUUCAGUGCUUUCCCAUCAGCAUACUUAGUUUCUGUCAUGUCAUUAACAUGCCUUAUCUUUCUUCCUUAUUGUGCCUCUUUUAUUUCCUUUACAACACUACCCUUGGUAAAUGAUUUUCUUUAAAGUUGUAGGGAAAUCAUAAUUCUGGCACAUUUAUGUUUCUGCCAAAUGUGAUCAAAAUGGGUUCAAAAGUGAUUAUGGAAGGAAAUGAACACACUCACAAAAAAGAAGUGUAAAUCUCAUUUUGUUAUAAAAUAGGACUCAACCCAUCAGUGUUAGAUGCUGUUGGUUGUGUUGAUCUCAUGUUUCAUUAAUAGCAAAAACUAUCUUUGAUAUUGUUGUAUCUUUUGAGGGACAAUGUGUGUGCCUUCUCUAAACCACAAGAGAACUUGCCACUUUUAUGAAUACUUCAGAAGUACUAGAUGUCUUCUUAGGAGAACAUGGCCAUGGGUUUGAAGGUAGAAAAUUCCAAGUGUUCUUGUUCUUACAAAGGAAAAUCAAAGACUGUAAACGAUUUUAAGGGAAUCAAAAGACAAAAAUGCUAUUCUUGCUGAUAUAUGGAAUACAUAAGAUGUUCUUUCUCCCUCAGAAAUAUUAGAGCAGCACAUAAAUUGACAGGAGAAUAUCUGCUUUAUUUUCAGGCACUGCUAAUGACCUCAGUGGUGGUUGCAUUGUGUUCCACAGAGGAGGCAGGAAGAUUAGGAUGUCAUAUAGAAAGAUUACUUCAGGCUGAAGUACUCAACCUAUCUAUUUAAAAAUACACGUGAUCUCUAAAUGCAACUAAAAAUAUCAAGUUCUUGAUUCAGACACCUUUUCUAAAUGUCAGCAUUGAGCUCAGAUUUCGUACGCAUUUCAUUUUAUAAUCUGGUGUUUAAGUGUAAAUAUUUUACAUCUAUCUUUUGUAUUGUUUGUUACAAAUAAAUCAUCACAGAUAUGAUAGAUCAACUAACUGAUUCCCCUGGAGGGAGUCUGUUGAUUUUUGUGUGACUCAGUCUCUGUGUGACCAGUUCUGAUGUCUUUAGCUAUUCUAGUGUUUCCUCUAUGGGGGAGGUGAAUUUUGAUUACUCAUUUAGUGGCCUAUUAGCAAGACUUGGAAGUUGAAACAGUUUAUAAGACUUGUGUUGAACCUUCUUUCCUUACCAGGCUCAGGGUUUCCUUGUCUGUCUCUUAAGCUGGUGUUUUCAUCCUGAAAGCCAAGACAAGCAUUUCUGUCUUUUGGUUUUCUUUCCAACGGCCCUCAUCUAAAUAGUUGACAUCUGCUGGGCCUUUACCAUGGACUAUUACUGAAUUACAUCUGAUUAUUACAACUCAUUCUGUAUUUGAGUCACUUUCUGACUCCUCUUGGAGCAAAGAUUUGCUGGUUGCUUCCCUUUUCUACCCAAAGGGCACUCUUUUACGGACAAUUCUUCACUGGCUUUUUUUUUUUUUCCAGAGCUGGAGAAGUGAUCAGUAUACACUAGUGCUAUCCCUGUGUGCUGUGAGAAGUGAUCAGUAUUACCAUUAGUGCCGUCUCUGUAUGCUGUAGUGUAUGAUCUAGGGAUCCCACUCUGUUUGCCAAAGCCAAAUACUAAAGUGCAGAAAGAAAGCUCUUAUAAGACAAUGCUAUUUAUUCUGUUUUAGUGGUACAGAAACUUCUCAAUCUAUUAGAAAAAUAACAGCUGGAAGGAGGAAAGAGACAAGUGCCAAAGUCUCCUUUUACUGUAUUCCUACCUUGUAGAGCAGGAGGCAUAUCUCUUAAUAAUAUUCAGAAAGGAAUUCAAGAUUGGCCAAUGUGUGUGGAAAUAAUUGAAAUGUGCCCAUGGCAUUCUGCCAGCUGAGAAAGAUUCCAUAUAAUUUUCACAUCCUCUGUGCUCUCCUUUCAGAAGUCAUGGCAGUUUCUCAAAAAAUUGUCUUACCAUUUGUUUCUUCUGAAGCCCUGUUGAGGUAUUUCUUAGACAUUAAGCCCGCUUUAUCCAUGAAAAAUGUCCAUCAUACAACAGCCAAGCAAAAUCAAGACUGAGAGAUGAAUAAAUAUGUGAGAAAAUGGAGGUUGCAAGCACAGUUUUUUGCUGUUUGCCAGAUGUCCAGAGCUCACACCCUGGAAGUUGAAGCCAGCUGCCCAAAAGGAGUCCCGAGUAUAUAUCAGUAUGUCUCCUACAUGUAUGAUAAUAUCCUGCCUUAAGAAGAUGAUGUGGCCUUGCUAUGGAUUUUGUAACAUGAUGGAAUAGUUGUUGUUUUAGAUGUUGUUACAGAAUGUUGUUAAAUAGAUGUUCCAUUAUUGGAAGAGAUGAGUCAAGGUAGGGGUUGUCCUACCUGGGGAGACAAAUCAUCACCCAUCACUGUCUAACAGCCUCAAGGUGUAUCAGGCCCAGAUAGUGAUUCACAAUUGCCACUUGUGACAAAACAGGUGUUACUGGAGUAAAAAAUACAGUGCUCUUGCAAAGAACAUCUCAAAAGACACAGUGGAGCUGGCUGCAACGGCAAUCAUAAAGGAAAGGUUUCAGCUAAGACCAGGCUGCAAGAGAAAAUCCUGCUCUGCAUUCCAGCAUUUCCCCUGAAGGGAGGAGGGAAGGAAGAAAUCUAAAUAAAGAUGUUCAGUCAGCCCCAUAGAUGGAAUGAAGAAAAAGUCCCUGGAAGGAGUGUCCUGUGAACAGUGUCCAUGAUGCCACCUGCACUUCCACCAAAAUCUGCCUGUUUUUCAUCCAAAUGCAGAACCAUAAUGUUGCCACUUUGACAGAUGUUUCCUCUCUGCUUUACACUUAACAUGAACAUCUUGUGAUUGUCUGCACCAUUAUUGCCCAUUCUGACAACAGAUUUAUGGUGGGACUGUCUUUAUUAAUUUAGAUGUUUGACAUUUCACUGACAAAUCACUGCGGUCUGAUCAAAGAAAAAAAUCAACAGAGAAAUACCUAUCCACUGCUUUGGGUUGGCCCUUUCAGUCAGCCCUUUCAGCUUCACCUCCAGGCCAAGCUGCUGUUCCAGCAUGCUUUAAAAUGUGACAUAGAGCAUAAUGUCCAAAGACAAUGUUCUGAUAUCAUUCUUUUCAUGCUAAACAGUAUCAAUGCUUUGUCAGGUUAGAGCCUUAAUUGUAAAGUUUCAGAAUGACUGUGAAUUUUGUGCAUUUCUGUGCCAAAUAUGCACCAAAUAAUUGGCAUGUACUGCAGAAUGAAGAAGCUCCCCAAUGUAGCCUUGUCGGAAGUUGUAUUUUUUCUCAUAACAGAAACUGAAGUUCCCUUGCUUAGCAUUUGCCCCAUCCCCAUCAGAUACCUGAAGUCUAUGGAAAAGCCUUGCUCCUGUGACUGUCUUUGUGCCCAGGAAUGAGCUCAGUCCCUGCAAUGACAGAUAUGUGACAAUCAAGGAUGAAUGGUGUGUGCACAGGAGAGAGGGGGGCUGCUCUGUGCAGCUGUGAGGUGUCUCGUUACUCUGAGUAUACAUUUGAAGCAGAGUUUGUCCAGCAUUGAAAAUGAAGCAAACACUCCAAAGGAUUUCUUUGCAGUUAAUUUCUUCCAGCUGCAAAAGCAAAGAAAAUCCUGCUUUUCCAUUCUCAACUUAAUCAAUGUCUUGGAUGCCCCCUUUCAGUUCCUAACUACUAAUACUGGGUCCCCUCUCCUAGGCUGGGGAGACCUGCUGACAGACUAACAUUUACAAUUAAAUGUUUCUUCUACAUACCUCAAUAUUAAAAAUUUCUCUACUAGUUAGGGCUUCAAGCCCAUCUGAUGCCUCAGCUUUUCUGUCUUCUCCAGUUCAUAAGACCUCACACUUAUAUUUAUUCACCUUCCUCGUUCUGAAGAUAAAGUAAUUAAUAAAGACUUCAUAGUUCCUUUCUAUUUUCAGUUCCCUCCUCAUGUUCAGCACAUAACCCCAGCACUCUGAAUUUAUAGCAAAAGUAUGAAGCAGGCUCUUUAUCUGCUUUGAUUUCCUCUACCCCUGUCAACUCCCUCAGCUCUAAUCACAGCAGUGACCCCAUUAACUAGAUCAUCAUCUUUUCACCAGUCCCACAGAGACUACUUUCAGUUGAUGAAAAAGUUGGAUGUUGGUACCUGGUGACUCAAUAUACUGUGGCAUCUUUUAAUUAAAACAUGAGUCAUUGUGACAGGCAGGUUGCAGCCACAGAAUUAUUUGCUAUUUCCACCUAAAUGCAAACAAAAACCCAAGGAAAAACACUUAUUUCUUACCAUAAAACACACAGGAUUAUUCUCCCUUAUUCAAAAUAUGAGACUUUUUUGCUACUGCCUCUACUACUGCCUUUGCUACUGUACCUCCUGAGGAAUUUAAAAAGCUGUCAUUGACACAGAGGCAAGGAAUCCUAUGUGAAAGGGGAAAGCAGGGAAUCCCUCUUGAUUACAAUGCACUGGUGGCUUGCUUAGAGCAGCAUGAACUCUUGAUACCUUAAAAUUAACAGAUUACUAUUAUAUGGUGAGCUGUAUAUAAACCUCUUUGCCUACCUAUUUCAUAUGUUUGGUUUUUUAACUGGAUUCUUAUUACAGAGAUGUUGAAAUCUUGGCCACAUCUGAAAAUAACAGUACACUUUACAUUGGAAUAGAUGGAGACAGAAUUUUAGCUGAAGAAUAAUAUAUAGAUGCCACCACCAGAGAACAGGCUUACCUGUAGUAUUACUAUUUGCUGGCACUAGUUAUGGGCUACUGUCAGCAGAUAUGUUUAUUUGAGAUAAACUGACAACAAAACUACCUGUUGUGAAGAUGUAAGAUGGCAGGGAAUCUUGCCUUCCUAUCAGUUUUCCCUGCUAAAACCUUCUCUCUGGUGUACUUCUAUUCCUUUUUGAAAAACCUAUUAAAAGAGCUAUUGAGCAUGCAGUGCUGGAACAUUCAAGCACUAUUUGUAUUACAUUUCAAAAACCACUAGCUGAGAAAAAUAAAUAAAAGCCACCAGCAUGUGAGAUGCAAGGAUCUAGGAGCCAUAUGAGCCACAAUUUUUCUACCUCUGCAACUUUUCAUUGCCAAAGAUGGUGUGGGCCAGAUAGACCUACAACAUCAAGGGUUUCAAACCAACUCUGGUUCAGAAAAGGCCAGCAUAACAAGGCUCAUUUAUUUAAUGCCCCCUGAUGACAGAAGCAGUUACUAUGGCCUCUGCAUAUUUCAGUAUCAAAACUGAAAUGCUGAAUAGUGUUGGAUGCUUUGAACACCCAAGGGCCAAGCAAGGUCAGUCAGUGAUUUAAAUACAAAUGUUUUUGGCAAGCUAACAGCACUGGCUUGUUGAGGAGUUGAAAAGAAUAAUUAAAAAAAAAAAAUCAAAAAAAUCCUACCCUUAUCAAAUGGUUCAGACUAACUCAUUUCUGACUGAGAAAGCAUAGUCACUAAUUAUUGCAAGGGAAUAUGCAUAUUGCAUCUUCCAAAAAUUGAUAUGGCUGAAUUUCACAUCCUACUCAUCAUCUCCUAGCAGAUUUCUCAGUAUUUCCUUAAAAAACCCUUCCUGAGUUGCAUCUGAAUCAUGUAAGUGUUGCGUUAAGACAACUGAUUAUUUAAAACCAGAUUUAAUUUAGCUACUCCUUUUUAAGGAUGCCAAGGCAAGAAUUGUUGUGACCACCCUUAACAAGGCAGACAGACAAAAAAAAGCUGUGGCUUAAUGAGGUUACACAGUAAUUCAUAUAGUCUGGAAAUAAUUUUGUUACCCUUCAUAUGGUAAUGAUCAUCCUUUUUCCCCCCUCUACUUCUUUCCAUCUGUUUAGGGAAGGGAAGUUUUUUAAAUAAGUCCUUUGUGAGGGCUCCCUUUAACCUCUCUUGCCACACCACAUGUUAGGACCCCUGACCCCUACCCUGUGUUUUCCAGCAGUGUGUCCUAACCCUUUAAGACAGUAUUUUCAGAAACAUUGUGUUUUUAUUAAUUUUGAACAUUUUGAGGAAUAUUAGAUAAGAUUUUAUUCAUUUCACAGCCUACACAUUUCAAACAAAUUGCAGACUUAAGAUGCUGGCAUACUGUUUCUCCCACAUCUUGCUGUUCUUUCCCACUAAUCCGCUGGUGAAUGGGUUACUUAUUUUUCUGCUCCUGUAAGACAACUUACUUUAUGAAAUGUAAACAUUGGAAAAAUGUCUUCUGUUUCAGUGCUCCCUAUAAUUUUUUUUUCUUUGUAUAGAAUAAACAUAGAUUUGUUUUUAGAAAGACUCUUUAAUCUAGGUAGAUGAUAUUACUUUACCCAUUUUUCUGAUUCAGAAAGUAAAACCACUGAAUUUUGGUGCACAAGUUUAAUGAAGAAAUUAAGACUUUUGAAGGGUAGCUACAAUUUCUAAUCAUACAGAGUGCCAGGUUUGUACCAGAAUUUGUAAAUGUCUUCUCACAAGCUAAUACACUACUCUUUUUUUAUAAAAUAUAAUUGGCUUUGGAAGACAUUGUACCCCAAUUAAUUUUAAAUUUAAAUUACCCAUUUACCACAUGCCUUGGUGGAGGCAAGGUUUAACAUCCAAGACCAAAGCUUGAACGCACCUGAAAACUCACAACUCAAUAUAUAAAUAUCCCUUAUAUCCUGCAUAUCAGUAGCAUCUUCCUUCAUCUUUUUUUUUCUUCCUCUGCUCUUUCUUUUGUUACUAAUUCCUUCUCCUUUUAAAUGCUUUUUCAUUUUCAUACUUAAUUAAGUACCCUAUCUAACUUCAGUAUUGAGCACAGUAGUGGUACCAUAUUAUAUAAUUACAUCUUGCUGGUUUUGGUAUUUUUUCAUUCUUUUUUAAUACAGAGAGGAUUCUUUUAUUCAUCUUACACCUUUCUUUAAUAUGCUUAAAUUGCAUGUGUCUUAGUUUAUAAUUUCAAAGCUACAAAGACAAUGACCUACCAAUUCUAGCAGGUGACCCUGUUUCCAGAGUUCUGAAAAGGUGAUACAACAGGAGAAGUGACAUGCUGAGAUAAAGAUGUCUACUGAGAGCAUGUCAUAAAAUUCAAGCCAGAUUCCCUGUGAUAUAAUCCAAAGCCCUUCACUGGUCCCAGAAGUGACUUUUAAGAAAGAUUAAAAUAUGUAUUGUAAGACUUUACCAGUCCCUUGGGAAAGCUUUGACGCUGCCAUCUUUUCCAGUAUAUGUACUCAAACAAAAGCUACUUAAAGUGCAUGUAUGUGAACCACUUGUGCUGCAUGUGGAAACAGCAGCAUGUAUGACUGAGAACUUGAGAAGUCACCUCAGGUCCUGGCACUGCAGGAAUAAAAAGUGUAUCCAGACAACCCAGAAAAAGAAGCCUGGUUGAAAAUGGAUCUCUAUGAACACAACAUACAUGAGUUGCAGAAAUCUGUAUGAAUAUUCUCCUCCAGGAGGCUUUUCAGGCAUUUGACUUUCUGUACUUUGGCUCCUCUCUCACUUCUUGGAAUUUUCACACAAAAGUUGACAGCACAUUAAAAAUGAACACAGCUUUAUUUUCUAGAUUCAGAUCUUAUUAAAUGUGCAUAUUAAAUGUCGGCAGAAUGUUUAAAAAAAUAUUGCGAUAUUAGUGUAUCAUAUAUAUCAGCAACAUACUUAGCAGACAAAAAUGCUAGUCAGAUUACAUGACAGUAUGAGUCAAACAAGUGGUACAUGUAGAAUAGUCAUCUAUUUUCACUCCAUUCUGUUGCCUCAAACUGACAGCAUUAAAUAAAAAAGAAAAA